AACGAACGCUGGCGGCAGGCUUAACACAUGCAAGUCGAACGCCCCGCAAGGGGAGUGGCAGACGGGUGAGUAACGCGUGGGAAUCUACCCAGAUCUACGGAACAACAGUUGGAAACGACCGCUAAUACCGUAUACGCCCUACGGGGGAAAGAUUUAUCGGAUUUGGAUGAGCCCGCGUUGGAUUAGCUAGUUGGUGGGGUAAUGGCCUACCAAGGCGACGAUCCAUAGCUGGUCUGAGAGGAUGAUCAGCCACACUGGGACUGAGACACGGCCCAGACUCCUACGGGAGGCAGCAGUGGGGAAUAUUGGACAAUGGGCGCAAGCCUGAUCCAGCCAUGCCGCGUGAGUGAUGAAGGCCUUAGGGUUGUAAAGCUCUUUCACCGAUGAAGAUAAUGACGGUAGUCGGAGAAGAAGCCCCGGCUAACUUCGUGCCAGCCGCCGCAGUAACAC
rnacentral:rRNA from 1 species